AGCAGAUGAACUAUAAACAACAGCAUCCGGAGUCUCAAAAGCUAAAAGAAAUGCAAACAACUGGUGGGUGGCCUGAUAUCAGCUUGAGGUGAGCAACAAAGGAAACUGCUGGAAUAAUCAGCCCAGACAGUAAAACACAGGUUAAAAAUAUGGGAAGUUGUGAAGACAUCUGAUUCCCACUGUCAAAUGCAACUUUUGGUUGCUGUCAUGAAUGAGCUCCUUCCUUGAACUUGCCCAUAAGAGCACCGUAUGCUGCCUUGUCGUACCUUUCUUGGAAACAAUGGCUGAAAUAAGAAAAUUUGAUUAUCGACUUAGAAAGCAAAUAUCUGGCCAGACUUCAAGACUUAUGCUCGCAGCGUGGGACAGCUCUCGUAAGGGUGAUUCAGGGUAGCUUCUGGAGAACAAGACGUCAGAUCUCCAAACCAGCUUUGUUUGUGCUAAUGUAGGAAGGGCGAGUAAGAGUAAAGACACUUCUCUGUCCAUCGGCCUGUCCUGCCGACUCUGGUGUGAGUGUGAAGCUGUGGCAAGAGGGGUUUCCCAUUCCUAUUUGACCUGGUGGACACCAGCUUUCCUAGGAAAUUGCUGAUGUUGCUGAGGAGGCGGCAGUAUCAAAGGCCUUGUUGAUGAAGGUACAACAAGCUGGGGAGGCUUUGGCAUUUCUGCACAGUGCUGCUCCCUGACUGUCACUCCAGACUCAGAUUCUGAAAGAAGCAAAGCAAGCUAGAGGAAAACUGGAUGUCCAGUAUCCAAAACUCCGUAUUACAGC